GACGAACGCUGGCGGCGUGCUUAACACAUGCAAGUCGAACGGAAAGGCCCUGCUUUUGUGGGGUGCUCGAGUGGCGAACGGGUGAGUAACACGUGAGUAACCUGCCCUUGACUUUGGGAUAACUUCAGGAAACUGGGGCUAAUACCGGAUAGGAGCUCCUGCUGCAUGGUGGGGGUUGGAAAGUUUCGGCGGUUGGGGAUGGACUCGCGGCUUAUCAGCUUGUUGGUGGGGUAGUGGCUUACCAAGGCUUUGACGGGUAGCCGGCCUGGGAGGGUGACCGGGCACAUUAGGACUGAGAUACGGCCCAGACGGCUACAGGAGGCAGCAGUGGGGAAUAUUGCACAAUGGGCGGGAGCCUGAUGCGGCAACGCCGCGUGCGGGAUGACGGCCUUCUGGUUGUAAACCGCUUUCGCCUGUGACGAAGCGUGAGUGACGGUAAUGGGUAAAGAAGCACCGGCUAACUACGUG
rnacentral:rRNA from 1 species